GGGGUUGUAGCUCAGUGGUAGAGCGCUUGUCUUGCACCUAUGAGGCACUAGAUUCAAUCUCA
rnacentral:tRNA from 1 species